CUUAACCCAGGCCCUUUGGCACAAAUCACCCCAGCCCCAGCAUUUUGAAAAACUAGCAUGAUCCAGCAGUUCAGAGCUAACAUCAUGCUAAUGGUAUAGACUCAUUGUGUAGCCUAUUAAAGCACUAAAACACAUGUGAAAUGUUUUUAAACUUGUCUAUAAUUGUUCAGACACAAGAAU